GAUGAACGCUGGCGGCAUGCCUAAUACAUGCAAGUCAAACGGGUGUAGCAAUACACUAGUGGCGAACGGGUGAGUAAUACAUAGAUAACCUGCCUUUAAGACGAGGAUAACAGUUGGAAACGAUUGCUAAAACUGGAUAGGAUACGAGAACGCAUGUUCUUGUAUUUAAAAGUGCUCUCGGGCACUACUUAAAGAGGGGUUUAUGUCGCAUUAGCUAGUUGGUGAGGUAACGGCCCACCAAGGCUCCGAUGCGUAGCUGUGCUGAGAGGCAAAACAGCCACACUGGGACUGAGACACGGACCAGACUCCUACGGGAGGCAGCAGUAGGGAAUAUUGGGCAAUGGACGAAAGUCUGACCCAGCCAUGCCGCGUGCAGGAUGACUGCCCUAUGGGUUGUAAACUGCUUUUCUAUGGGAAGAAACACUCAUACGUGUAUGAACUUGACGGUACCAUAGGAAUAAGGAUCGGCUAACUCCGUGCCAGCA
rnacentral:rRNA from 1 species